AAAAAAUUCAGACAUUCGACUAUUUUUUGAAAUUAAUAUGUGCAAGAUGUGUUAUCUUCUCAAGAACGAUUGAUAGUAGCAGAUGACUGCAGAAGGACUUCUGGCCACUUAAGGAAGAUGUCAAAGUGUUAUAACUUAAAAGUAAUACGCAACUAAAAAUAUGAAACGUUAGCAAAAAAACGACGUUCAAAUCUUACUGAAGGCCAAACGUGUUCCGUACAGCUGCCAUAGAUGUGAUCAACAAGUACACGCAGUCUAAGAUCUGAUGAAUGAGACUCAUCAAAACAACCAGCAAUUAGUAAAAAAAUAGUAUAUUCAAUGUAAAUAAUUAAAAACCUUCCAAU